CCCCCACCCCCGCCGAAGGGCUGCCAUUUGGAACGCAUUUGCAGACACAUGGAUUGUUUUUAAGUUAAUGCUUUUUAAUUCACUCUGUUUCCCAGUUGUCGUUUUUUAUUGAAAAGGCGGAUUCUGCCGGUGUGUGUUCCUUUGCGGGGGCGGGGUGGGGGGUGCUUCACCAACAGAGAUCCGAGGAGAGGCAGAGACAGAGACAAAGGCGGUGCGAGACACCGGGCAAGGAGUCAAUAGGGUCAGAGAGCGAGAAAGAAGAGAGACUGGAAACGGGAGCCGGGACAGGGGGACACACAGAGACCCCAAGAAAGGGGAAGGGAGGGAAGAGCAAGUGUGCUGAGAAAUCCUGCUCCGGGGGAUCCAGGGCGGACCCUGCCACCUCCAGCUCCUGGGGCUUUCUCCGGCUCUCUGGUUCCCUUCCGCGUAGACUAGGCGAGUUGGGCGCCGGGAGUGGACUGGAAGUCGCCACGGACCGAGUACGCAGGACCAGGGUCUUCGAGGGCUAGGGAUCCGCGAUCCGACAAAGAGGACCCGGGAGUCGGAAGCGUUCCGCUCCUGCCUCCGCAGUUCCGUUUUAGAGCCGACCCCAAUCCUGCGCUGCGGUUCCCCUGGCCUGCUGCGCCGCCUGGAACAAGCGCCCCGACCUCUCUGAGCCCUGGCUCUGCCACCUGUGGACAGAGAGGCCUGCUGCUGGCCGAGGGGCUAAACGGCUCGAGGGCGUGGGGAGCAGAGCUGCGUCAACACCGCGGCUCCGCGGUUAGGGCAGAAAUCCUGGGAUUUUCGGUCUGGGCCGCUGCCCCGGGGUGGUGGUGGGGGCUCAUGUUUAUGCAGGACUGGCGGGGACGGGAGACAGCGGGGCCCGGGCGCUUCCUUCCUUCGCAGCUGAGAACCAUUUGGUUCUCCUCCCACCGCGCCACCGCCCCUCUCCCUUUCCGCGCCAGAGAGCACAUCCUGGUAUGGGGUCUCACAGAGUCGGACACGACUGAAGCGACUUAGCAGCAGCAGCAGCAGCAGCAGAGAUGUCUUCCUGAUGGUUGCAAAAGAAGCGACUGCCUUGGUGGUCCAAGCCUGCAGGGCAGUUUUGGGAGUUGGUCUUGAAGAUACAGCCUAGAAUCUGCUUCUUCAGCUCUUCAACCAUUACUAAACCCUGCCUCCUUGCCCAGGACCAUUCCUGUUAGCCCCCACAGUAAUUUCUUGGUGUUCAAGGCCCCCGGGGGAAGCCCAUCUCCAUCACAGUCUGACCUUCCUAGAAGUUCCCCUUAGAACCUCCAUUCUACAAAGCCUACCCAUUGC
ensembl:lncRNA